UCCCUGGUGGUCCAGUGGCCAAGACUCUGCACUUCCAAAGCAGGGGACCCAGGUUCAACCCCUGGUCAGGUGU
rnacentral:tRNA from 1 species